rnacentral:rRNA from 1 species
CAUGUAGGCGGUCUUGUAAGCUUGGCGUGAAAGACCACGGCUCAACCGUGGGAUUGCGUUGAGAACUGCGAGGCUUGAGUGACGGAGAGGGAGCUAGAAUUCCUGGUGUAGGGGUGGAAUCUGUAGAGAUCAGGAAGAAUACCAAUGGCGAAGGCAAGCUCCUAGCCGAUGACUGACGCUGAGGUGCGAAAGUGUGGGGAUCAAACA